rnacentral:rRNA from 1 species
AUGUGGUUUAAUUCGAUGCAACGCGAAGAACCUUACCUGGUCUUGACAUCCACGGAAGUUUCCAGAGAUGAAAAGGUGCCUUCGGGAACCGUGAGACAGGUGCUGCAUGGCUGUCGUCAGCUCGUGUUGUGAAAUGUUGGGUUAAGUCCCGCAACGAGCGCAACCCUUAUCCUUUGUUGCCAGCGGUCCGGCCGGGAACUCAAAGGAGACUGCCAGUGAUAAACUGGAGGAAGGUGGGGAUGACGUCAAGUCAUCAUGGCCCUUACGACCAGGGCUACACACGUGCUACAAUGGCGCAUACAAAGAGAAGCGACCUCGCGAGAGCAAGCGGACCUCAUAAAGUGCGUCGUAGUCCGGAUUGGAGUCUGCAACUCGACUCC